rnacentral:rRNA from 1 species
GACGAACGCUGGCGGCGUGCUUAACACAUGCAAGUCGAGCGGUAAGGCUCCUUCGGGAGUACACGAGCGGCGAACGGGUGAGUAACACGUGAGUAAUCUGCCCUUCACUUCGGGAUAACCACCGGAAACGGUGGCUAAUACCGAAUACGACCAGUCUUCGCAUGAGGUGCUGGUGGAAAGUCUUUUCGGUGAAGGAUGUGCUCGCGGCCUAUCAGCUUGUUGGUGGGGUAAUGGCCUACCAAGGCUUCGACGGGUAGCCGGCCUGAGAGGGUGACCGGCCACACUGGGACUGAGACACGGCCCAGACUCCUACGGGAGGCAGCAGUGGGGAAUAUUGGACAAUGGGCGAAAGCCUGAUCCAGCAACGCCGCGUGAGGGAUGACGGCCUUCGGGUUGUAAACCUCUUUCAGUACCGACGAAGCGCCCUGUCGGGUGGUGACGGUAGGUACAGAAGGAGGACCGGCCAACUACGUG